CCCGCCCGGCCCGGCCCGGCCCCUUCCCACCCGGGACUACCGGCGGCUCCACGGGGUCCGCCCCUUGUGCCCGGGGGUCUGCGGAGCGCGCGGGCGCGGUGGGCGCGGGCCUCCCCAGGCCCCUGUCGUCGUCUGGCUCCUCCGGGCGCGAGCCGGGGGCUGGCGGCCGGGACCCCCGACUCUGGGCCUCCCACUUUGGGCCUCAGUUUCCACAUCCACAAACCGGGGAGAUCCCUUUCUGGAGGCCGAGUGAGCGGGCUCCUCCCCACAGCAAAGAGAACUCCGAGCCUCGGACUCUUCCCGUCUGAAGUCCGUGGGAACACCAGCUCCAACAGAUCAUUCUGCCCUUUCUUGGAAACAAGAUUCCAGGGGUGUUCUUCCAAAGGGAACCUUAGAUUUUGCGGUGGAACCUGUGUCCAGAUAGGAAGCCUACACACGGAUGGAGGGAGGCUACCUGAGUGCAGGGAACAAACACGUCUUGACUGUAACCUCAGCAUUUAGCUGGGAUGCGCCCAGGAUGCCAGUGUUCCCCAGGAACUCCGUUUGAAAACCACUGAACUAGAGUUUGGAAGUUAAAAGCCCCCUCACAGGAGGAAGGGGACCGAAAGCGCUAGCUCCGCCCAGCCCAGUCCUGCGUCCGCAUCUGCCUGUACCUCCUGCACAGGGCAGUCACUGAUGGACCCAAGCCCUAGCAGAGACAGCUUGGGAGAGAGAAUGAUGUGAUCGAAGUAUUUAACCCUCAUGUGGAAAAACGAAGAAAAAAAUCCCAUCGGUGGGGUUAAGAACAGAAAGCCUCAGCUGCGGGAAACCAGGGCACGCCGAGCAGUGAUGCCCCAGACGCAGCCGAGGGCUUACUCCGUGGGAAGAGUCACCCGGUCGGAGGAGCCCACGGAACUCACAUUCGUUGUCCCAUCACCCACCUCAGAGGGGCUUCAUCACGGUGACUUGAAGAUGAGGAAACGGAGGCACCACUGGGUCAGGGAUGACAGCAUGUGAAUUGUAUCUCAAUUUUCAAAAAGUCAAAAAUCAACAUUUGGCCAGGACCCGUGCAUAACUUGCAGGGCCCAGCACAGAAUGAAAAUGUGCGGCCCCUUGUUCAGAUACUACGAGGAACUUGAAGGUGGUGACAGCAGACCCCUAAACCGAGCCCGGGGUCCUUCUGAGCCUCUGAGGCCACACAGGCCACACUCCGUGAAGCCAGCCUGGCCUCGGGUUCCCGUCCCGAGUCCGGUGUGUGAACGCCUCCAGCAGGUCAGUGACUCUCAAGCUGGGGACCCAAAUUCCUGGGUCCGUCUGACAAAAUGUUUCAUGUCUUGAGGCUUUUUUCAUUUACUGUCAUCACUCAAGUUCUAGAAACCCUGGGCCAUCUCUCCUCUUAUCAAAAGUCAGUCCCUCCACGCUGGGGACGUGUGUGUAGAAGAGCCAGGUUUUGCACGGGCCCGCAGCCUAUGUAACUUGGGGGCCCUCUUUAAGAAAAAGAACACAAAAUUACAAAUCGAAACUAGGCCUUGAAAGGGCCGCAGGCAGGGAGGAGCCCUGAGGCUGGAGCUUUCCACCCCCGUGGCCCAUCUCCUCUCCUCCACCACUCGAGGGCUAUGUCCCUUCGCUCAUGCCUGUCCCAUCCCGUGUCCUUAAUCCCACCCGGCUAUCACCGUUCCCGCACUCUUCUUCUCUCUCCGGGUGCCCUCCUCGAGCCAAACUUCUUGGAAGGGCUAAGUCUUCACCGCGGACUGCCCCUCCGUCUGCCACCAUCUCCCUCCCUUCCUGCGCCGACAAGUGGCCUCGUUGGGUUCAGCGCUGGAUCCGGCCCCACGUAGCCAGGACCUGUGGACUCUGUCGGUGCUUCUCCAUUGGACUGUCCGGCUAGUUGUCAGCGCUGGGAACGCUCUUUCUCAGGCUCCUCCCUUGGUUCGGUGGCACCAUGACUCCCCUGUGUCCCUCUUAGGUCUCUGUUCCUUUGCUACCCUUUGCGGGCCCUUGUCUUUAUGGCGCAUGAACUAACUGGCCCACCGGGGCCCCGUGCUCCAGCCCUCUUCUCUUUUUCUCUACGCCAUCUCCCUAACCCCAUGUACCUCUUAUGUGCUCAAAAUUUUCUCCCUAGUCUAGUCCAAACCUCUCCUCUGAGCUCCGGCCUCAGAGCUGCCAGCUUGACACCUCCUUUAGGAGGGGCUAUCUCAGUAUGUCCAACACCGGGCUUGGGAUUCCCUUCCCACCCCUCCCCUGGUUUUACUCAUCCCAGUAACAGCACUUCCAUGUAACCGGCUGCUCAAGUCAGAAAUAUGGGAGUCAUCCUUGAUUCAUCAGUAAAUCCUACAGAUCCAUCCCCCAUCACCGCCAAAAACCAGACCGCAAAUGCAUUUAUUGGUACUUCUCUCCAUUUUCCAUGCUGACACCCUCGCCAUCAUGAUAACUAGUCCAUCGUUUCUAAAUUCCAGCGAGAGCCUCAUCACUGGUCAGCUCCCUUCCCCCAUUGCUCCCUCUCAGAUCUGCUUUUCUUUUUCUCUCUGUCCACACCGCACAGCUUGCGGGAUCUCAGUUCCCCAACCAGGGAUUGAACCCGGACCACAGCCGUGAACGCGCCAAAUCCUAACCACUAGACCACUAGGGAAGUCCCUCAAAUCUGUUUUUCGUAAACAGCAAGAGCAGCAGUGUCCACAGAAAUAGAACAUGACCGCGUGUGUAAACAAAAUUCUUCCAGUAGCCACUUUAAAACAGAACAAAACAAAACUGGUGAAAUUAAUUUUAAUCACACAUUCUAUUAACCUAAUAUAUUCAAAAUAUCAUUUCAAUGUGUAAUCAGUGUAAAAAUUACUAAUGAGACACUUUACAUUUUUAAUGUCAUUUUAAAUAUACCAAACCAUGUAUACUGUACACUUACAGUACACCUCAGCUCUGCCGUGCCGUAUUUCAAGUGCUCAGUGGCCACAUGUGGCUGGUAGCUGCCAUACCCAUACAAGAGUCAGAGUGAGUUUUUAACGAAGCAAGUUGGAUUAGGUCAUCACCCGCUUAAUAACUCCUCAGUGGUGGCACGGUGCACAGAGACCUGCAAGGGGAUGCACGGUCUGGCCUCAUCUUGCCAACAUCCUCAACAUCCUCGAGGCCUUCUUCUUGUCGUUCGCUUUGCCCCAGCUGCCUCGGCCUCCUGUCAGCUCUGAGAACACACCAGAUCUCCGUGUCCGCGUGUGCCGUGGCUGACUCUUCCUCACCCUCAAAUUUCAGCUUAAAUACUUUCUCCUCAGACGGGCCUUCCUUGCCCGUAUCGAAGAGGGUCCAUCUCCGUUAUCAUCCGUCGCAGUAUUCUCUCUGUUACCUUCAUAGUGCUUCUUCCAGUUUGUAACUGUAUGUUUACUAGUCAGUUUAUUGUGUGUCUCCCCCAGGAGACCAUGAAUUUCAUGGAGGCAGGAGUUAUCUCCAGCGCCGUAUAAGAUCCUGGCUCUAGUUGGCACUCAGUAAAUGAAUAUCUGAGCACCCUCUCUUCCCUCUCUAAGGGAACUAGCAAACAGAUUUAUUUCAGUAAUGCUGUGCAUCAAAUUACAAUAAAUGCACAAUGAAUAAAUGCAUCAUGGCCGGCAGAGCUUCCUUCCUAUUAAACAAGGAAGGUUUGACUAUAGGCAAAAUUAGAUUUGGUUUAUCUUUGAAGAGAUCUUAAUUAUUCACUCUGCAAACAAGGCAGUUUCCUUGAAAAACUAAGGGCAGCGGUGCCUCUAGGUGUCCCAGAUCUCAGUCGAAUGGCUCCAUGAAAGUGAAGCUGUUACUCUGUGAGCCAGAGCCAGGGACUUCAAAGUCUGGGUGGCUCUGGGGAGAUGGGAGAUGGGAGAUGGUGGAUCUCCUUGAUGCCAGCCAGAGGGAUUCGUCACCGGUUCAUUCAUUCAGCAGAUGUCUGUGAGCCUGUGAACACCUUUACAGCAGGCACUGUGCUAGGCUCUGGGGCUACAGCGCUCAACCAAACAGACGAAAAUCCCUGCCUACAUUCUAGUGAGGGGAGACAGAUGCUAAUUAAGAAACUAAGUAUGCUGUUAUUUCUGGCAAGAGAAAUAAAGUCAGGAACGGGGGUGGGGAGCACAGGGCUUACAGUGUUAGGUAGGGUGACCAGAAAAAGCCUCCCUGAGAUGGUGACCUUUGCAUAAAGAUCUGAAGGAGGUGAGGGACUGGCCCGUGGGGCCGUCUGAGGUGAGAGGGCUCCUGGGGCUAAGGGGACAGUGAGGAGGCCAGCGUGGCUGGAGGAGAGUGAAGAGCAGGGAGAGGAGCUGGAGGUGAGGUCACAGGCUUUGGGAUGGGCGGGCGCAUCACGGGGAACCAGAUGUCGGCCGCUGUGAGGACUCGGGUUCUCUCUCUGGGCGAGGUGGAAGGUCAGGGGAGGGCUGUGAGCCCAAGAGUGACUCGGUGCUGACUUGCGUUUCAAAAGGAUCCUCCCACACGUGUGCGGAAUGAGAAUGCACGAAGCAAGAAAGAAAAGGGGAGAGCUAGCAGGCCUUCACUUGGCACCCAAGCAACAACGCUGGAAACCGCCUCUUCAGAAGUGUGGCUCCGGAUUCACCUUCUCCGUGUGCUAUAGGCCGGGGCGCCCGCGCAUGGGGCCUGGGCUGUGCUCCGGGAGGGCAGGCAGGACGCUGGAGCUCGCGUGACAAGAGCAGCUGAUCGCUGGUGAGGCUGCAGGAGGUCCUGGAGCAGCUUCUUUGUCGCUGGGAAGCUGACCCUCCCGGGUGCGGUCACACAGUGAUGGCUGUGGCCCGGGAGGGUUGGGGAAACCGGCUACGUCUACCGUCGGCCUCUCUCAGCCUGGACAAUCUUUGAGAGAGGCGCGUCUCUUUUGAACUUGCACAGAUGAGAUGGGACAGAGGGGAGAACUAACAUUUCUCAUUGGUGCAGCUUGCAGACUGUGUCAGAAUGUGUUGCUGAAUCUAUUUUGCUCCAACCGUGAGAAAGCAAGACUUACCGUAAACAGAAGAUGUAAUUGUGGGGUUGAGAAUUUAAGGAGCUCCAAAAUGGCUCCUCUAGAUAAAUUUAUCUCUGCUAAUCGUUGUUUACCUCUGCUGCAUUCUUUUACUUUUUCUGUUUUUUAUUUGAAUGGAAACGCGCUUUUUCCUGGUCUCAAAAAAUAAGACAUGGACAUGGUUAAAAAGUCAAGCGGUACAAAAGGGUAAACAAUGCUAAGAAAUGAUAUUGACAUGUAGAGUCCCAAUUAUACAAACAUGUAAAUUCUUCUUAAAUUCAUCCAUAUAUUUGACCCUAUCCCCCAAAAAAUGCCAUCAGAACUUUUCUAGAACUAGACAAGGCAAUGCUAAAGUAAAUGCUGAAAGGUAAGCGUGCAAAAAUUGUGAUAAAAUUCUGAAAAGGAAAAAUAACAGGGUAAGAUUAGCCCUAGAAGAUUGAAAUAUAUUAUAAAAUUACCAUAAUUAAAAGUUUGGGGGCUUCCCUGGUGGCGCAGUGGUUGAGAAUCUGCCUGCCAAUGCAGGGGACACGGGUUCGAGCCCUGAUCUGGGAAGAUCCCACAUGCCACGGAGCAACUGGGCCCGUGAGCCACAAUUACUGAGCCUGCGCGUCUGGAGCCUGUGCUCCGCAACAAGAGAGGCCG